rnacentral:rRNA from 1 species
AGAGUUUGAUCCUGGCUCAGAUUGAACGCUGGCGGCAUGCCUAACACAUGCAAGUCGAACGGUAACGACGGGAGCUUGCUCCCGGGCGACGAGUGGCGGACGGGUGAGUAAUACUUAGGAAUCUGCCCAGUAGAGGGGGACAACUCGAGGAAACUCGAGCUAAUACCGCAUACGCCCUACGGGGGAAAGCGGAGGAUCUUUCGGGACUUCGCGCUAUUGGAUGAGCCUAAGUCGGAUUAGCUUGUUGGUGGGGUAAAGGCCUACCAAGGCAACGAUCUGUAGCUGGUCUGAGAGGACGAUCAGCCACACUGGGACUGAGACACGGCCCAGACUCCUACGGGAGGCAGCAGUGGGGAAUAUUGGACAAUGGGGGCAACCCUGAUCCAGCAAUGCCGCGUGUGUGAAGAAGGCCUGCGGGUUGUAAAGCACUUUUAGUAGAGAAGAAAUGCCCAUGGUUAAUACCCGUGGGUCUUGACGUAACCUACAGAAGAAGCACCGGCUAACUCCGUGCCAGCAGCCGCGGUAAUACGGAGGGUGCGAGCGUUAAUCGGAAUUACUGGGCGUAAAGCGCGCGUAGGCGGUUUGGUCAGUCGGAUGUGAAAGCCCUAGGCUCAACCUGGGAAUGGCAUUCGAUACUGCCUGACUAGAGUAUGGUAGAGGGAAGUGGAAUUUCCGGUGUAGCGGUGAAAUGCGUAGAUA